rnacentral:lncRNA from 10 species
CAAGAAGCUCUGGGAUCAAUUAAAAUGCCAGGCUUUUCCAGGCUGGUUUCCAGCGCAUCUGUGCAUGAUUCCACAUAAAUUUAGGGAAUUAGAGAUCAGACAAAGUUAUAAGACAGCUGUUGAUGUCCCACUCACCAGUUAGGAGGAUUGAGAAGAAGCUGCUUUCCAGGAAAUCCCAGUCGACUUCCAGAUAGAUCUCUUUGGUCAAAAAUGUGUCACAGCUCCAACUCUUUUUUUGUAAGAUGGUGAACACAGGCAGGGGCCACAUCUGACUUACCUCUAGCUCCAGGUACUAAAGAGCCACUGGGGAGAGCUCAGUCAUGUAAUCCAAUACUAUCUAAACAUGAACUACGGAGUCCCCAUCCAAGGCACUGAAUGAGAACAUCUGGAACACUCAAUAAAUAUUUCAUCAACAAAUAAA